CGCGAGCCCUGGCCGCUGCCUCCGGGAGCUUCGGGGUUAAUGUUUGUGCGUCAAAGUUACGUGGAGAGAAGGGGCCACAGUGCGGAUGGGGGUGGUGGAGCAAUCAGACCUUCUUUUAACGUCUUCACCUGCCAGCGCAACUGGGGAAGUUUCAAGACGGAAGGGAGACAGAAGCGCCCCUGGGGAAGGUGAAGGAGCAGUCUCGUGACUGACAGCAAUGAGUUCUGCAUCCUGAAGCCGCCCAGGCGGGACGUGGAGCUGGCGCCUGGCGGUGGACCCCGCCAGGAGGGACUGAGGCUGGCCCGCUUUCCUGGGGUUUGCAGAGCCACAGGCUGUUUACAAACUGCCUUUUCUGCCCACUGGCUCUCUUAAUGCUCACGACAGCCCAGACAGCAGUCCAACUGAGUGUCUAUUCAACAUCAACUCUGUGCCCAGUAGAGGAGGCAAGGCAUAGAAAACAACUGGAGAUGAAUCAACCGCUGCAUCAGGUUCAGCAGACAUUCAGCUGUAUCUCGCCCUACCCUGGGUGGGGCAGGCAUCCCAUUGGUUCUCGCAGGUUGGAUGUCUACAAGCCUCCAGGGAAUGAACAAAUAACAAAGGAAAUGGCUGACAAAGGGAAAAUUAUGAUGUGAGAAUUUCACUAAAGAAUUUAGCCCACUUUACUCUGUUCGCAAAGGCCCUGGAAUUGGCCCCGAACUGUGGUUUAGGGAAUCUAUCAUUUGUUCCCACGGUGUCCUUAUUAGCCAGGCAACCUGGGCAGAGUUUAAACCUCAAGGAUCUUCCUGUUCUCAUCUGUCAAAUUGGGCUAAUGAUGUCAAUCCACCCCACGAGUCUCUCUACUGUUGGUGUCCCAGUGCUGCGGUUCAAACCUGACCUUCGGAGAUGGAUUGACAGAACGUGUGGAGGGAGAGAAUGCAGGCACGAUGUCUCCAGGGCAACUCCUGGAGUCGCAACGGCCUGGCCGUGGCUCAGUGCAGUGCCUUGGGAACAGACACAAUACACUCCAAGUCCAAGGCUGGUUCCUGCACUUCUACUGGAGAACGUGAAAUGAGCAGUGAAGGCCAAACUAAAAACAGGAAGACCAGGCAGAAGAUUCUAGCAGUGGCCCAGGAGGCCCCAUGUACCAGAGAUGGAAGCCAGCAUUCCUUAGCAGACUAUUCAAGGCUCUCCACCAUCUGGUCCUCUUUCCUUCAGACCUCACCUCCCAUUGUUCUUUCUAAGUCUCUAACCUUCUAAUGAUGCCAACCACCUGCUAGUUGCAGAACCCACCACACCUUGAUUUGUUCUGUUUUCCACCUGCUGUUAGCUUCCCAUUUUCUCUCCCUAGAUGUAGUCUGUACAGUGUCCAGGGCCCAGGAAACACUAUUGCCUUCUUGAAGCCUUCUCCGCUGUCUCUCGUAAUUAAUUCCACCUCCUCUGCUGUUCCACAUAUACCUCUGCUUAGCACCUGUCCUAGCCAGCCUUGGGUUAUCACUUCUUGUUUACAUGUUUUCUUACUAUGCUCAGCUCCUUACAGGCAGGAACUCUGCUUCCUUUGUGCUUAUUACCUAGGGGCAUAUAAUAAAUAUUGGCUGAAUGACUCGAUGGAGGCCUUGGGAUUGAUAGCGUCCCUCUUUUAGUCUUGCACUGGGACCUGGAGCAUUCAUGGCAACUGGAGCAGGAAGCCGGGCUGGGACCAGGGUGAGGUGGGUGAGGAGUCUAGAGCAUAAAAUGUAAGUUGCUCUCAGUUGCUGACCUUGUGCUUGCCUGACCCUGGGAGCUAGUCCCUCUCAGGUGCCUCCCUUGCCUCACCCUCAGCCCUGGCAGGAAGGAAAGACUGGAGUCUUGGGAUUCAGAAUGAGUCCAUCAAAAAGGACAGACCAGGUUCCAUAGGGUCCAGUUACUCCUCUCAUACCGACGCAAGCCCAACCCAUGCCCAAGGGCCCCCAGCGUGACUCCAGAGCCCACUGGUACCAGAAAAGUGGCAGGUCCCAACAGUCAAGAAUCUGGAAUGGCUGACAUGUGGAACACUUUGUAAACAGGCCGAAGGAGUGCAGUCUCUUGAAGGGAACAAGGUACCAGCCUUUGUCCUGGGGCAUGGAACCAGAUAACAGCCUUAGGAUAUGCAGUUAGUAAAAACAGAGCCCCCAGCUAUUGACUGGGGUCUAGGGCAAGAUCAAGUUUUAUGGACUGUGGCAUUAGGGUAACUAGUUGGAACCUAAGAGUGGGGCCACGUUUCCGUAGGGCUGACCUCAGUGGGGUUGGGGAUGUGGAAGGAGGAGAAAGGGCUACAUUCUAGUGGGAGUGGGGUCAGUGAGGACAUUUAGCCCGUGUCUCCGAGAACGUUGUGCUCUGUGUCCGGUGGUAUCAAAGGAGAGUGGGGGUGUCACAUGAAGCCCAGAACUCAGCUCUUGGCUCUGGAGCUCAUCUCUGAGGGUGUGAAAGACUCCAGGUCAACCUGAAGAAAGGAAAGGUAGAGGAAGGGAGAGAGGGUGAAGCAGAGGCUGUUUAAAUAUGGCCACAGUACUUCGGGAUUGUUUUGGGGAGGGGGUUGUGCUGGGCUCUCAUAAAGAGUAGCCAACGGGUCCAGUUAUGGGGGUCUAGCAGUGGUCCCCUAUUGCCAGGUCAUGGACUAACGGAGUCAAAAUAUCCAGGGACCCAUGUUAACAGUGUAGUUUUCUGGGUUUCAAACCUUGGGGAUUCUGGUUCAGUCGGUCUAGAGUUCAUUUUAACUGAGGGCUCUCAGAGUGAUGUGCAGCCUGAUUUCAGAGCCACUGGCUGGGAACAGACUUAAAGGAGGCAAAGGGGCUGGCAGCUCAUUUGGAGUCAGUCCCAUGUUUUCCUUUAGAACUCAUUUAAGCCAUGAACGACCUCAAUAAGAAAGCCAAUGAUAGGUAAAGCAGGGCACGAUUCUAAGACACAUUAGGUGUUUCUAGCUGUUAUACUUCCUUUUCUCUGUAUCAUCCCUUUUUGGGUAUCCUAGUGCUCAUUCUCCUGCUUUGAUGUAGUGGUUUUCAAACUUUAAAAUGCAAAAGGAUCCCCCCACCUCCUCAGAGAGCUUGAGUAAACACACGUGCCUGGCCCUCAUCCCCACAGUUUCAGAGUAAGUGGGUCUGGGCUGGAGGAGGGCUUGAUUAUUGCACUUCUAACAACUUUCCAAGUGAUGCUGAUGCUCCUGGUCCAGGGAACACACUUUGAGAAACACUGAUCCAGUGGAACAAAAGGUAGAACAUACACAAAGAAUGAGAAGAAGGGGUAGAAGAAAUAUUUGAAGUAAUAACGACCAAGAAUUUUCCAAAACUAAUGACAGAUACCAAACCACAGAUCCAGGAAGCUCAUAAUAGGUAGGAUAAGUAUCAAAAAAUGUACACCUCUGUGUAUUAUAUUUAAUAUGCAGAAAAUCAAAUAUAAAGAGAAAAUAUUGAAAAAUGCCAGAGAGUGUAAAUACCUUCUUAUAGAAGAACAAGGAUAAGAGUUCAAAUGGAGUUGUCCGAAAUCACACAAACAAGAGGAAGGCAGUGUCACCCUUAAAGUGUUGAAAGAAAACAACCUCACCAACCUCGAAUUCUAUAUCCAGUGAAAUCAUCCUUCACAAGCGAAGGAAAAAUAAAGGCUUUCUUCGACAAAAGCUGAGGGAAUUCAUGGCCGGUGACUUGCUCCAAAAGAGAUGUUAAAAGAUAUUCUCAGAGAGAAGGAAAAUGAUAAGUCAGAAAUUGGAUCUAUAACAAGAAUGAACGAGCAUCAGAGAAGGAAGAAGUGCAGAAGCCUUCCAGAUGGGCCAGAGUGAGAAAACACAGGUCAGUACACAUCAUGCAGCUGAGAGCAGAAGGCAAGCUGGGAGCUAUCGACAGCUGGAGGGAGAGAACUCACGGUGGCCAUUUUGGAUUUGGGUUGUUGGAACUAUUUCUGAGAAGGGCGCUUCUGACUUUGUCUCUCCAAUGCACCAACAACUAAAUGGACAAGAAAACAUAUAAUUGGUUGGUCUGUGACAUUUGGUAUGAAAUAUUUGAUUGAUGCUUUGUAUUGAUGCUCAGAUGCUAGGUAUUCUGGUAUUUCAACAGGUGAAUAGUGAUGCAUUUAUGUUACAGAUUGGCAAAUAAUGAGCUGAGGAAUAUUAAUGUUAUGCAAUAUCAAGAGAUGCUCUAUGCAGUGUGCUGAGUAUGUAUGUGUCGUGAGAAGGGAACGUGGGGAAAGCCAGGUUCUGAACCAGGUUAAAUAAAGUGAACAGACUCCUGUUAUGAACCUUUAAUAUGGGCAAAUGUGCAACGGGGGUCUUUACAGACAAGGUGGGGAGCUACACUGCGGUGUGCAAUAUCUCCCAAACUUAUUUGAAGGAGCUCUUUUUCUCCCCCAUACAAUGCCUGUAUCGGUGUCAAACAAUCUCCAAUGUGUCAUUUAAACAAAGUAAGGUUUCUAUUUUAAGUGAAAGAAAUCCAAAAGUAUUUAGUCCUAGUGAAUAUGACCCCAUGGUAUCAUCUGGCAUCCAGGCUUUUUUUUUUUUUUUUUUUUUAAUUUAAUCUCUCUGCUCUUAGCUCAUUAUUUCCACCCUGAAUGUCACUACACAGUUCCAGGUGACCAAUGAUGUACUGGCCAUCACAGCCUUGAUCCAGGCAGGAAGUUGGGGGAGAGGUGAAGGGCAUAAAGGCUGUGUCCCCUUGGUGAGUGAGCAUCUCCUCCUUAAGGAGAUUUCCUGGAAGUUCCUUACCAUGACUUCCAUUGGCAUCUCUUUGGUCACAUCUUCCUAACAAGGAGGCUGGGAAAUAGAAAUCUAGAGCUGGGCACGUGGCUAAAGUUUUAUAACAGAAGAAGAAAGAAUAUUAAGUAGACACAUAGUCUCUGCACAAACAUCCAAUUGAACAUUCCUCAGGCCAAGUUUGGGAAAUGUUGAUAUGUGUUAUUUUCCCACUGGUCUCCUAUAUUUUGUCUUUUCACAUACUACAUGGCCUUGGUUGCUUGCUCUGUCUCUGUGUCUCUCUCUUCAUCUCUGUGUACCUUUGUCUCUCUCACAUACAUAUAUACAGAAAUACAAAUAUAUGUCUUAGAUUAUCCAUAGAAUAUAAAGACUGAUAGGAUAUUAGAGCAGGAAGAAAUUUUAGAUAUUGUCUAGCUCAGUGGCUCUCAACCCCCGUUGCACAUUAGUCUCUUGGGGGAACUUAUAAAAAUAUUUAUUCUAGAGCCCUCCCAGUUAGAACUGUAAUCUUUGGGGGGUAAUGGCCAGUUAGUCAUCUCAGUUUCUUUCCUAAAAUUUCUCAGUUGAUUAUAAUCUGCAGCCAGGGCUGAAAGCCUCUGGUCUAGACAAACUUCAUUAUUUUAUAGGGAAACUACCUGUGAAAUUAUCUCUUUCAUGUCUGCUUUCCCCAGUAGACUACAAAACCUAUGAGAGCAGAAAUAGUACUUAUUAUGUAGUCACAGUAUUCAUCCCCAGUGCUUAGCACAACACUGGCACAAAGCUGAAUGAAUGAAUGAAUGAAUGAAUGAGUAAACCAAGGCCCCCAGAGGGGAAGGUCCUCAUGCAAGGUCAUACAGCAAAAACACAUACAACCGAACUGAGAUUAGAACCUUUGUGUCUUGACUCCCUGUUCAGGGCUCCUUCAGUUAGCUCAAGAUUUCAUAGUGAAAUGGCCAGAUCUUGGAUCACUUUACUCUAGAACUGAUAAAUGUGUUCCUAGAGCCUUGUAUGCUAUUGUCAUUAUUUGUGAGUCUUAGGUUAAGAACUGUAUCUUACUUCUUCAAGCAUCACCAGCCACCCACCAUACCUAGCUCACAAGAAAUGACUGAUGAUAACAGCUAACUGGUGGGGGGUGGGGAGGGGGAAUGUGGGGGGAGAAAAAAAAAAGGCCCAUGCAAGUUCAGUCCAUCAGAACAUCAUCUUCCACUUUUCUGUCUUCAGCCUUCUCCUACUAUGCAUGGCCUAAACCCAGAUUCUGCCUCUUCUCUGGCCAAUUGCUCACUUUGAAUCACCCGUCUUGUUGAAAGUUUUUGAAAACGAAUUUACAGGAAAGUUAAGAAUUGAUAAGAUUUGAUGAAAUACA